rnacentral:misc_RNA from 1 species
GAAAUGCGAUAAGUAAUGUGAAUUGCAGAAUUCCGUGAAUCAUCGAAUCUUUGAACGCACAUUGCGCCCCCUGGCAUUCCGGGGGGCAUGCCUGUCCGAGCGUCAUUUCUGCCCUCAAGCACGGCUUGUGUGUUGGGUGUGGUCCCCCCGGGGACCUGCCCGAAAGGCAGCGGCGACGUCCGUCUGGUCCUCGAGCGUAUGGGGCUCUGUCACUCGCUCGGGAAGGACCUGCGGGGGUUGGUCACCACCAUGUUUUACCACGGUUGACCUCGGAUCAGGUAGGAGUUACCCGCUGAACUUAAGC